rnacentral:rRNA from 1 species
UACGUAGGGACCAAGCGUUGUUCGGAUUUACUGGGCGUAAAGGGCGCGUAGGCGGCGUGGUAAGUCACUUGUGAAAUCUCUGAGCUUAACUCAGAACGGCCAAGUGAUACUGCUGUGCUAGAGUGCAGAAGGGGCAAUCGGAAUUCUUGGUGUAGCGGUGAAAUGCGUAGAUAUCUGGAGGAAUACCGGUGGCGAAGGCGGCAUCCUGGACCAUAACUGACGCUGAGGCGCGAAAGCUAGGGGAGCAAACGGG